GCUCAGGAUGAACGCUAGCUACAGGCUUAACACAUGCAAGUCGAGGGGCAGCAUGGUCUUAGCUUGCUAAGGCCGAUGGCGACCGGCGCACGGGUGAGUAACACGUAUCCAACCUGCCGUCUACUCUUGGACAGCCUUCUGAAAGGAAGAUUAAUACAAGAUGGCAUCAUGAGUCCGCAUGUUCACAUGAUUAAAGGUAUUCCGGUAGACGAUGGGGAUGCGUUCCAUUAGAUAGUAGGCGGGGUAACGGCCCACCUAGUCUUCGAUGGAUAGGGGUUCUGAGAGGAAGGUCCCCCACAUUGGAACUGAGACACGGUCCAAACUCCUACGGGAGGCAGCAGUGAGGAAUAUUGGUCAAUGGGCGAGAGCCUGAACCAGCCAAGUAGCGUGAAGGAUGACUGCCCCUAUGGGUUGUAAACUUCUUUUAUAAAGGAAUAAAGUCGGGUAUGGAUACCCGUUUGCAUGUACUUUAUGAAUAAGGAUCGGCUAACUCCGUGCCAGCAGCCGCGGUAAUACGGAGGAUCCGAGCGUUAUCCGGAUUUAUUGGGUUUAAAGGGAGCGUAGAUGGAUGUUUAAGUCAGUUGUGAAAGUUUGCGGCUCAACCGUAAAAUUGCAGUUGAUACUGGAUAUCUUGAGUGCAGUUGAGGCAGGCGGAAUUCGUGGUGUAGCGGUGAAAUGCUUAGAUAUCACGAAGAACUCCGAUUGCGAAGGCAGCCUGCUAAGCUGCAACUGACAUUGAGGCUCGAAAGUGUGGGUAUCAAACAGGAUUAGAUACCCUGGUAGUCCACACGGUAAACGAUGAAUACUCGCUGUUCGCGAUAUACUGCAAGCGGCCAAGCGAAAGCGUUAAGUAUUCCACCUGGGGAGUACGCCGGCAACGGUGAAACUCAAAGGAAUUGACGGGGGCCCGCACAAGCGGAGGAACAUGUGGUUUAAUUCGAUGAUACGCGAGGAACCUUACCCGGGCUUAAAUUGCAGAUGAAUUACGGUGAAAGCCGUAAGCCGCAAGGCAUCUGUGAAGGUGCUGCAUGGUUGUCGUCAGCUCGUGCCGUGAGGUGUCGGCUUAAGUGCCAUAACGAGCGCAACCCUUGUUGUCAGUUACUAACAGGUUCCGCUGAGGACUCUGACAAGACUGCCAUCGUAAGAUGUGAGGAAGGUGGGGAUGACGUCAAAUCAGCACGGCCCUUACGUCCGGGGCUACACACGUGUUACAAUGGGGGGUACAGAGGGCCGCUACCACGCGAGUGGAUGCCAAUCCCCAAAACCUCUCUCAGUUCGGACUGGAGUCUGCAACCCGACUCCACGAAGCUGGAUUCGCUAGUAAUCGCGCAUCAGCCACGGCGCGGUGAAUACGUUCCCGGGCCUUGUACACACCGCCCGUCAAGCCAUGGGAGCCGGGGGUACCUGAAGUGCGUAACCGCGAGGAGCGCCCUAGGGUAAAACUGGUGACUGGGGCUAAGUC
rnacentral:rRNA from 1 species